rnacentral:rRNA from 1 species
AACGAACGCUGGCGGCAGGCUUAACACAUGCAAGUCGAACGCCCAGCAAGGGGAGUGGCAGACGGGUGAGUAACGCGUGGGAACAUACCCUUUCUUGCGGAAUAGCUCUGGGAAACUGGAAUUAAUACCGCAUACGCCCUACGGGGGACAAAUUUAUCGGGGAAGGAUUGGCCCGCGUUGGAUUAGCUAGUUGGGGGGGUAAAGGCCUACCAAGGCGACGCUCCAUUGUUGGUCUGAGAGGAUGAUCAGCCAGAUUGGGACUGAGACAAGGCCCAAACUCCUACGGGAGGCCGCAGUGGGGAAUAUUGGACAAUCGGCGCAAGCCUGAGCCAGCCAUGCCGAGUGAGUGAUGAAGGCCUUAGGGUUGUAAAGCUCUUUCACCGAUGAAGAUAAUGACGGUAGUCGGAGAAGAAGCCCCGGCUAACUUCGUGCCAGCCGCCGCUGUAAAAC